rnacentral:rRNA from 1 species
UAGGGAAUCUUCGGCAAUGGGGGGAACCCUGACCGAGCAACGCCGCGUGAGUGAAGAAGGUUUUCGGAUCGUAAAGCUCUGUUGUUAAGGAAGAACGAGUGUGAGAAUGGAAAGUUCAUACUGUGACGGUACUUAACCAGAAAGGGACGGCUAACUACGUGCCAGCAGCCGCGGUAAUACGUAGGUCCCGAGCGUUGUCCGGAUUUAUUGGGCGUAAAGCGAGCGCAGGCGGUUAGAUAAGUCUGAAGUUAAAGGCAGUGGCUCAACCAUUGUAGGCUUUGGAAACUGGUUAACUUGAGUGCAGGAGGGGAGGGUGGAAUUCCAUGUGUAGCGGUGAAAUGCGUAGAUAUAUGGAGGAACACCGGUGGCGGAAGCGGCUCUCUGGUCUGUAACUGACGCUGAGGCUCGAAAGCGUGGGUAGCAAGCAGU